rnacentral:rRNA from 1 species
GGGUUGUGAGGUUAAGCGACUAAGCGUACACGGUGGAUGCCCUGGCAGUCAGAGGCGAUGAAGGGCGUGCUAAUCUGCGAUAAGCGCCGGUAAGGUGAUAUGAACCGUUAUAACCGGCGAUACCCGAAUGGGGAAACCCAGUGUGAUUCGUCACACUAUCAUUAACUGAAUCCAUAGGUUAAUGAGGCGAACCGGGGGAACUGAAACAUCUAAGUACCCCGAGGAAAAGAAAUCAACCGAGAUUCCCCCAGUAGCGGCGAGCGAACGGGGAGGAGCCCAGAGCCUGAAUCAGCAUGUGUGUUAGUGGAAGCGUCUGGAAAGGUGCGCGAUACAGGGUGACAGCCCCGUACACAAAAGCGCAUGUGCUGUGAGCUCGAUGAGUAGGGCGGGACACGUGGUAUCCUGUCUGAAUAUGGGGGGACCAUCCUCCAAGGCUAAAUACUCCUGACUGACCGAUAGUGAACCAGUACCGUGAGGGAAAGGCGAAAAGAACCCCGGCGAGGGGAGUGAAAAAGAACCUGAAACCGUGUACGUACAAGCAGUGGGAGCACCCUUCGGGGUGUGACUGCGUACCUUUUGUA